GGUGCCCCCAGGCGGCCCGCGGCCCCGUCCGGCCCGCCGCUCUCUUCCAUGGUCGAGGCCGGCUCGUCGCACCUCAUUCUCCGUGCAGCGCCUGUGCACCGAGGGAGACCGGGGAUGCCAAGAGAAGCACCACAUAGUCCCUGCCCUCUGGAAGCCUGCCAUCUGUGGGAGAGAUGCUUGAAGAUUUUGACACCCAUGGCAAAGCAGGUCUCUUCUGCGGAGGUGCGCAUCGGGCCCAUGAGACUGACGCAGGAUCCUAUCCAGGUUUUGCUGAUCUUUGCAAAGGAAGACAGUCAGAGUGAUGGGUUCUGGUGGGCCUGUGACAGAGCCGGCUACAGGUGCAAUAUUGCUCGGACUCCAGAGUCAGCCCUGGAAUGCUUUCUAGAUAAACAUCAUGAAAUUAUUGUCAUCGAUCACAGACAAACUCGAAACUUCGAUGCGGAAGCAGUGUGCAGGUCGAUCCGGGCCACAAAUCCCUCCGAGCACACGGUGAUCCUCGCAGUGGUUUCACAAGCAUCAGGCGACUGUGAAGAGGCCUCAGUCCUCCCUCUUCUGCACGCAGGCUUCAACAGGAGAUUUAUGGAGAAUAACAGCAUAAUUGCUUGCUAUAAUGAACUGAUCCAAAUAGAACAUGGGGAAGUUCGCUCACAGUUCAAGUUAAGGGCCUGUAAUUCAGUGUUUACAGCAUUAGACCACUGUCAUGAAGCCAUAGAAAUAACAAGUGAUGACCACGUGAUCCAGUAUGUCAACCCAGCCCUCGAAAGGAUGAUGGGCUACCCCAAGGGCGAGCUCCUGGGGAAAGAACUCGCUGAGCUCCCCAAAAGCGAUAAGAACCGGGCAGACCUUCUCGACACCAUCAACACCUGCAUCAAGAAGGGCAAGGAGUGGCAGGGGGUUUACUAUGCCAGACGGAAAUCGGGGGACAGCAUCCAACAGCAUGUGAAGAUCACUCCAGUGAUUGGCCAAGGAGGGAAAAUUAGGCAUUUUGUCUCCCUCAAGAAACUGUGUUGUACCACCGACAGUAAUAAGCAGAUUCACAAGAUUCAUCGUGAUUCAGGAGACAAUUCUCAGACAGAGUCACUUUCAUUCAGAUACAAGAACAGGAGGAAAGAGUCCAUUGAUGUGAAGUCAAUAUCAUCUCGAGGCAGUGAUGCACCAAGUCUACAGAAUCGUCGCUACCCAUCCAUGGCGAGGAUUCAUUCCAUGACUAUCGAGGCUCCCAUCACAAAGGUUAUAAAUAUAAUCAAUGCAGCCCAAGAAAAUAGUCCUGUCACAGUAGCAGAAGCCUUGGACAGAGUUUUAGAAAUUUUACGGACCACAGAACUAUACUCCCCACAGCUGGGUACCAAAGAUGAAGACCCUCACACCAGUGACCUCGUGGGAGGCCUGAUGACUGAUGGCUUAAGAAGGUUGUCAGGAAAUGAGUAUGUGUUCACUAAGAAUGUGCACCAGAGUCACAGUCACCUUGCGAUGCCAAUAACCAUCAAUGACGUCCCUCCUUCUAUUGCUCAAUUACUUGAUAAUGAGGAAAGCUGGGAGUUCAACAUCUUUGAACUGGAAUCUGUGACACAUAAAAGGCCAUUGGUUUACCUGGGAUUAAAGAUCUUUUCCCGGUUCGGAGUAUGUGAGUUUUUACACUGUUCUGAAACUACUCUGCGGGCCUGGCUGCAAGUGAUUGAAGCCAACUACCACUCCUCCAACGCUUACCACAACUCCACCCACGCCGCGGACGUGCUGCACGCCACCGCCUUCUUCCUCGGAAAGGAGAGAGUAAAGGGAAGCCUCGAUCAGCUAGACGAGGUGGCUGCUCUGAUUGCUGCUACAGUCCACGACGUGGAUCACCCGGGAAGGACCAAUUCUUUCCUGUGCAAUGCAGGCAGUGAACUCGCCGUGCUCUAUAAUGACACCGCUGUCUUGGAGAGUCACCACACAGCCUUGGCCUUCCAGCUCACGGUCAAGGACAGCAAAUGCAACAUUUUCAAGAAUAUUGACAGGAACCAUUAUCGAACACUGCGCCAGGCUAUUAUUGACAUGGUUUUAGCAACAGAAAUGACAAAACACUUCGAACAUGUGAACAAAUUUGUGAACAGCAUCAACAAGCCAAUGGGAGCUGAGAUUGAAGGCAGCGACUGUGAACGCAACCCUAUUGGGAAGAACUUUCCUGAAAAUCAAAUCCUGAUCAAGCGCAUGAUGAUUAAAUGUGCUGACGUGGCCAACCCAUGCCGCCCCCUGGACCUGUGCAUCGAAUGGGCUGGGAGGAUCUCUGAGGAGUACUUUGCACAGACUGAUGAAGAGAAGAGACAGGGGCUACCUGUGGUGAUGCCAGUGUUUGACCGGAAUACCUGUAGCAUCCCCAAGUCCCAGAUCUCCUUCAUUGACUACUUCAUAACAGACAUGUUUGAUGCUUGGGAUGCCUUUGCCCACCUGCCAGCCCUGAUGCAACAUUUGGCCGAUAACUACAAACACUGGAAGACAUUAGAUGACCUAAAGUGCAAAAGUCUGAGGCUUCCAACUGACAGCUAAAGCUAAGACAGAGAAGGGGACCUCUUGAUUUACAGAGGACUCUGUGAAUCACAGUAAUGUAAAAAAGAGGCUUUCCUUUAUAAUGAAAAUGACAGGGGUAGAUUAAGGAGCUAAUGUUUAAUAUCUGACCUUGAAUCAUUCAAGUUCCCAAAGUUCAGGUUUAGAAAAUUAUGUUCCAUGCAGAAAAAUGUCCUUUUGAACAAUCAGUGACAGAACAAACACACGGCAAAAGGUUCUGUCCUGCUGUCGUCAAGCCAUGGAGCUGAUUCACUGUAACAAGCAGCAAAGACCUGGUGCCCGUGAGCCCAGCUCCAUGGCUGACGACCAUGUAGCUCAGCUAGGGUUUAGCUCAUCUUUUACCAUGAAAGUCACCAUCACUGUUUAGCUUGAUUUUUUAACUCCAGAGCGUCAAUCUGACAAAUUUAUAAGAGUAUCAUAAUAUCUAAGGGAAAAAAACACGCAUAAAGUGAGCAAAACAACCAGGACCAAAUUACUGAUAAACUAGUUAACUUCAGAGCCUCCAUGGCUAGGUGGCUCUUCAAAUCGAUGGUGUGACACCCAAGUUAAAACACAGCCGUGGUCUGGUGAGUGCCUUCGCUAGACUGGUAUCAGCAGCCUGUGUAGCCCUCUUUCCUACAAAAGGGAUUCAUCUUAAUAGAAGGCCAUCCAUGGUGGGGAAGAGAGUGAGAUCUUGUUUCAGGGGAAUCCAUGAGCUUUUCCCUUACUUCUGGUUUAGAGAGGCAGUCACAAGGCACUAUAAUGAGUAUUAUAUAAAAGCCAUUAAUCUGAAUGCCCUUGGACAAGCUUUUUUUUAAAAAAAAUUUAUAUACAUUUGCCGUUUAAAAUUUUUAUUAAAGCAAUCUAAAUUUUCUGGGUGUAAGUCCAUGGAGUAUGUUGUGCUGUGUACCAUCUAGAUGUAUAUAUCUGGGGAGGGUAUAGAUGAAGUUUCAAGGUUCAGAUAUUUUUAACCUAUCUAUAUUUAAGAUCAUGCCAUUUUGCUUUAAUGAUGUAAAAAAAAGAUCGCAAGAUAUGUGUAAAUAUAUCAAAAUACGUAUAUGAGGAAGCAGUAAAUACUAUUUUAAGCUAUUAAUUGUAUGCUAAAAGCUUCUAAAGCACAAGUGCAUAUUUUUAUACAGCUGUUUUCACAACUUUCUGUGAUCUACAUGAAGUCAGACUUGAGGUUUUCCCUUCUCUUUUACCAACCCUUCUCUCUGUAUUAUAAAUAUUAGAAACUCAGUAAACAAAAUCUUUGGUUUUUUCAAAUUCUCUGUACUCCAGGCUGCAUUUCUAAGAGGUAUAAAUAGAGAUUAACUGAAUCAGUAGUUGCUUUUUUCAGAUGAAAAUCGGAAUGCAGAACACUUGGAACUAGUACAUGGGAAGAAAAAAAAUGACUUAUCACUACAUAAUGUGCCAAUGUUUUUUUCUAUGUUUUGUACCAAAAAAUGGAAACAUACAUGACAAUUCCAUGCAAAGAAAUGUAUCUAAAUUACUUUUGUUAGAUGGUGAAAGGACUUGCCUGAUCAGCAUAGCAGCUCGCUUUGUACUGUGAUGCUGCGCUAUGUAAAUGUGAUGAAAAUGUUUGUUUUCGUGAAGUACUUGUAACUAAAUUCCUACAGCCAUUUUUCAUUCCCAACAGCUGUUUUUAUUUUACCUCUUGGGCCUAAGUUUUUCGUAAUUUCAAAAUGUUGAUUUAGUGUUCUUUAUGUCAUGAGUCACACACUUUGUUUUCAGAAUACAUUAAAUUCAUGAUGUCAGAAUCUCAUUUUAAGGAGCUAAAUAAUUUGCCCAGGCUGCAGAAGCUUGCUUGAGAUGACAGUCUUUUCCUGACCAUCUUGCUUUUGGUUCCAUUUGGUAAGUGACAUUCGUCAGAUGUCUGACAUUUUCCUAUAUGAAUGUUAAAGCUUACUCACUCUGAUGUGAAAUUAAUUUCGUAGUAAGACUGCCAGCAUAGCUCUGCUUUAGCAUAGCUCUGCUCGGGUCUUUAUCAGUAUAAUCUUCUAUGGUGUUAUCUUCUACUGAGUUGCUAACUAAACAGUGCAUUCCUCCAGUUUAUCAAAUGGGUAUAGUCUCCCAUAGUGAGUUGUUUACUAAAAUAUUCUGUAUUGAGGGGACCCAUAUUAAUGACAGAGAAGUCAGUUAUAAAACACUGUUAUCUGGACCACAAUAACUAACUAUAAUUUAUUCUUUACUUCCAAUUUAAGAUUUUAGAAUUUGCUUGCCUUCAGAGUCAGGUCUUGGGGGCAAAAGAACAAGCCUCAUCUGCUCAAGCAGAACUCACUCACCUUGAGAAAGAUAACUGGAAAGGAUGAUAGAAAGUUCCCAAAAUUUAAGCUAUUGAUUGUGUUAUGUGAAUAAAGUACAGAAUGAGGUAAUAAGGGUAUUAUUGUUAAAUAAAAAUUACAAGGUCUGCCACAUAGUAUCACUUCUGAUGUUGCAAAUACAAUAGCACUGAAAGCUAACCUAGGGAAAUGGAAAAAAAUGUACAUAAUAUAUAUCAACCUCAGUUAUAGCUGUAUUCUUCUAAAAGUUCAACUUGUAACUACUGAGCAGCCAUCAAGUCUGAGUCCCUGCUGGAUUCUACCAUCUUAAUGGUUUCUGCUUCCCUGAAUGCACUAAGGUCAGAGAUGGAAGAAAACAGUGAGUCUCAUGAAUGGGUUGGAGGCUUCCAGACAUUAAUAACAGAGCCACCAAUCCAAUGUCUGAAUUCCAAACAA